UUGUAAAAUAAUUUGGUUUUAUCAACUGAGUUGAUAAUGUGAAUUGGCCAUCAUAAAGAGUUUGUAAAGCGGACAUUUGUUUGUCACUGACUCAGACUUUGUUCCCAUAACUUUGAGCUUGCGACAGCAAAGGAGAGCUCAAAAACAUCAAGUAUGGUUAAUAUUUUUGGCUCAUAAGAAAGCUGAAUCACAUUUGACUGUGACAACACUCUGUUAAAUGAAGGUCCACAACUAAAGCAAGGACUCUGUCUUAAGUUAUGUAUAAGCCUGCUAAUAUUUAUUGUUAUUGUCAUGAGGAGAUUAAAUUAAGGCGCUAUAAGCGAUAUUUAAAUGUAAUGAUAAUACUGAGGUAAGAAUGAUUUGCAGAAAAAGAUAUCAGUGGAUGUUAUAGAAUAGUUUAACAUUAUUAAAUAUUAUAUCAGCAUUUUUUGUCUCUUUGUAUAAAAAAAAUUUUUACCUCUUGAAGUAUUUCCAUUCACUAAUUGCUCACAGAUGAUCGGUAGGCAUCUGUCACUGGCCUUAUUAUUGGAAAAUUGAUAAUAAAUUAUUGAUUAUUAGGUUAUUUAAUUGUAAUUAUUUCUUGUGGAUUUAAGAAGUUUUCAAGUUGAACUCUGUUGUUUUCAACAUAUGUAUGCAUAAGUUAGUUUUAAAUUGGUAAGGGUAAUCAAAAUUUUAUUACCUUUUAUAAAAAUAUGGUGUAGCAAUUAUAGUCGAAUUCUCUUUCAUUUGCAGUGUUACAGAUUGAAGGAUAUUUAGAAUACAUUAUGAUUAAUGGAAGGUAGUUUUCGUGAAACCGUGGACUAAAAAAAUAUUUAUCGGUAUAUUUGAAAUGCAAAGAUGAGUCAACUUUCUGGUGAGGUUUUUGUAAAUAAAUAUUGGUUGAAUAGCGUUAUUGUUGUCUUUUUUUCUGUUUCAUAUCUGAAUUGCAGAUUAUGAGAACUGACUUCUCUGAACCGUGAUUUUUUUUUGUCGUUGAAAUUAAAACAUAGCCACUUAUAAAUUUGCAUUUCAAAGCAGGAACUGCACGUUUUCGCUUAGAAACGUCAAGAAAAAAUUUUAUGAACAAAUUACAGGUAAUUAAUGUUAAAUUAUUCAUCUUUGCCAACGAGCAUGGCGGACAACUGUGAGCCGUUAGCGUGAUAAUGUUAUUUUUGGCAAAGAGCUCUCUUACAUCAGUGUUUUCGACUUUGGAAGGGGAUAGUAUGUUUGGAAGAAGAAUUUCGCAGGUACACGUGGAGUUCUGACUUUCAAAUAACUCAGUUUUGGACUGAUAACCGCCAAGUUACACGUAGACGUGACAUGACCAAGAAAGUCAAGGAUUUGGAAACAAAUACUUGAAAGCUUUAACAAUCAUGUUCUCUUGUACAGUUGGAACUGUUCACGAGGAGAUGAUCAGAUCUGCUGAGCACAGGAAAAGAUUUGGGAUGCAUUUACUUUCAACGUUCAGACCGUGUUGUUUCAUGUCAAGCAAGACUCAAAGACAACCACACAUUCGACAGACGAGUUCCAGGCGGAUAUUUGAAACGAAUUGCAGCUAGGAUUGUUGAUUGGUUAUCCAAAAUUUCUUGCAUACAGUUUCAUUCUUUGAGGACAAAUUCGCCAGAUUUUAUUUUAAGGAUUGUCAUGAAAGUUCAAGCCGGUUAAAUUUUGGAAUAGAUUCAGGAAUAAAGUCGAAUUUUUUAUUUGAUUCUUGCUCACUAAGGUAACCCCUGUUCAGAAUUUUAAAUUUUCCCGCCAAAAAACUUAGGUAAAAAUGCAUGCGCUGUAUUUUUAUUUGGUAUUAAAUAAGUCAAUAACUCAUUGUGUAGUGUUUUAUUUUCUAAUCUUCCUUUUCGUUCUCAAGAUAUCAGUCAAACAAUACAAGUAUUUUGUCAUUUCAUUGUUUUAUUCUCUCCUAAUAUUCUUUAAUUAGAUAAGUGAUUUUCCGUUAAAUAAUCCAAAACGUGUCAAGAAAAAUGCGUUUAAAUAUGUACUAAGACUUUUGGCGGGAAAAUUUGGAGCAAUUUUCACAGAGUUUUCCCGACAACAUUUUCGAUAAAAAUUCAAAAUGCCUUCCUCUGAAUUUUUCCGUCAAACUAGAUAUGAACAUCACCUUGUGCAAAAUUUUUUCACACAAAAACUAUGAAACAGCCCUUCGUUUUAUUUUUUUAAGAUUUGACGACUUUUUCUCCGAGUAAUUAGUCUUUGAAUUUGUUUUUUUUUUUUGCACAAGAUGAUAAACUCUACUUUUACAAUGGGAAAAAUGGCAAGCUUUCUUUUAGUGCACUGCAAAUUGGCGUGUUUUAGAACUCCUUUUUUGCCAAUUUUAAAUGUCGACUUGAAAUUUUACGCGUAAAGCUCAAUUGCCAUUUUGCUAUAAGACAGACAUUUUUCAGCCAUACGGUUUUUGUUUAGUUUCACAGGACAUUUGACGCGAGCUGAUCCAUAUUUGUAAAUAAUAAAUUUGUGUUGGAGUUAAAAUAAUUUUGAACUGCUUUCUUCUCCUUUCAGUGUCAAAGACUCAGACAAUCAAUGAAUUUGUCGAGUCAAAUUGUAUUCUUCACCGAGAAGUUCCGAUUUCAAUCUUCAAACUUUACCUACAGUCCUGUGUUGCAUUAACUUUUGGCUGAAACAUGUCUCUCUAAGUUGCAAGUAAUAUGAUAAAACCCUACGACUCGCUCAAAGUCCUUAAAGAAUAGUUUUGAAGGAAACAUUUUACGCGAAAUGUGACCAUCCACGAAAACACUUUGAAAUGGGUUGUACAGACCAUAAUUAAGUCGCAAAACAUCAAACAAUUCUAUUCAGGUCUUCGAUUUUUACUCCAUUAGUGAAAUUGAAAUUAAAAUGAACAAAAACAGGCACUUUCCAGACAAACUUCGAUGGGAAACACUUGUGUAAUUUAAUUGUGCCAAUAGAUCAGAUUCUUUCAAACAAAGCAUUAAUUCUUAAGCAUCGUCAAGUUGGAGCUUUGUCGAACAGACAAUUUGAUCCCCCUAGUUUUCAAGUACGUUGGGAAUUCCAGACCCAAACUAAAUUCGUGAGUAACUUUUAACUUGAACUGAUUAAGAAUCCUGCUUCCUUUUCCUCGAAAAAUUCCUUCAGUCAUGAUAAAAUAAAUCUUGGAAUGCGUCAUCUUCUGUUUCAAAGUAAUAUUAACCUAUUUCUUAAUAGUCAAAUUUAAACUAGAAAUUCUCCUUGUUUUUUUUUGUAUUGUUUUCUUUCCUUCUUCAUAAUAUUUGCGAGUGGUCUGUAUAACGUCAUAUCAACGCUGUUAAACGAAAUUUAUUUUAGAAUACUCUGAGCCAGACAGAGGUUUUAUACACUAAACUAACAAAACGACAAGAGAACGUUGACAAGUGAGCUUUACGUAAAUCAUUCGAGUUUUAUUUUGUUUUUUAAUCAAUAGCUAUAAGACAAUCACAGGUUAAAUUUGUGAGUGGCAGUCGAAUGUCGGUGACAGUAACUGGUCAGUAACUAUCGUACAUUGUCGACUCUAGAAUUCAGUUGAUGGUUACGGACGAGCCCACGAUAUCUGGUACAGACAUUGCAGCGUAAUCAGUAGAUUUCAAAAGUCAAGUCAAUAUUUCGUCCUAGGAGGUUGUCGUCAAGGUAAAAACUUGAGAAAAUAUCAAGGUAUUUGUUUUCGUCAGAUUAAUUUCCCAGUUCGUUGUAAAUUACUUAUGCUCGCUACUGUAGAGUCCGAAUAGCCAAAGCCUUGUGUUAAGUCAAGGUGUAGGAGAGUGCUUACUGAAGUAAUCUGUCGGUAUGUGUCAGGUUUCGUAAACCGUUGUCGGUCGCUGUUUGGAAUGUAGUCUAAAAGUUAAUCCCAUAUUGUAUGUGGUCGUUGGAUGCUGGUGGAGUUUCGUUAUAGUAAAGAACGUCAAAUGUAAGUACGUAGCGUUACUAAGCCAGUGCAAGUCAUGUUCAGUUCGUAAAUAAAUAGCUAUUUUUUUA
rnacentral:lncRNA from 1 species